GAUGGUUCUGAUUUUGUUGAGUUCUUGGACUGUGAGAGGGUCGAGAGGGUGGUGGGGCGUGUCGGAGGCGUGGUCGCGGAGGCGCGUGGGACUGUUGCGGCGGUUCUUGAGGUGAGUUGGUUGCUUGGAUUGGAAGCGGUUCUUGGAGGUGCACCAUGCAGAGUUGGUGGCGCAGUCGAGGAGGUCCGGCCCGGAAGGGAGGUGAGACCAAGUGAAGAGGAGGCCGAGGGCGAAAAAGAGGGAGAGAAAGAUGAGGCGGAAGAAGUUUGGGGUUUCCAUAUGGUGGAGUCACUGUUUCAGAGCUUCGAGUGUGUUUUUGAGUGGUGAUCGUA
rnacentral:lncRNA from 1 species